CCGUUUCAAUUUGCUGGGGACAGAUAAAGUGAAUGUGACUGUCGAUCCCACCAGCCGUGACGAUUGCGCCUUCUCCUGCUAAGACUUCCGUACCAGGACCGAUGAUAAUAUCUACGUUGUCUUGAAUGUAAGGAUUGCCAGCUUUGCCAAUUUUGUAAAUCUUACCGUCUUUAAUUCCGAUAUCGGCUUUGACAAUCCCCCACCAAUCGAGGAUUAAAGCGUUGGUAAUGACUAAAUCGACAGCACCAUCAGCAUUAGCAAUGGGAGAUUGUCCCAUCCCAUCGCGG
rnacentral:sRNA from 1 species